rnacentral:lncRNA from 1 species
GAGAAAAAUUAUUGAAGCUAUUAUAAUAAUUCACUAAAUAUAAAGCAAUAACAUGACAAAAUUAUAACACUUCAAAGAAGCGAUAAAUCGGCUUUUUCCGAGUAUAAGAUCCGAUGCAUUGCUGAGUAAAGCCAUAAAAAUAUAGUUUUAAACAUGCUCUUAGUUGUUGAAGCCGUUUAUGAAUAUUGAUUACAAUUACAGUCGUUUUCAUUAAUUGAAAUCAGAUUUUAUUUUUAUUUUGACAGGUUGAGUACAAGGAAAAUUCUUGUCCUGUGAAUAUGUGCAUGCUUGUGCUGAAGUUAUUUUGCUUCAAUGAUGGCAAUGUUUGGUUCUGGCUUCCAUCGACUUUAAGAUACAAAGUUCCAGAGCAUUCAUUACGCACUCCUCGACACUACUAUGAAAAAGAUUUUAAUUUCUCAUUAUUUCUUUUCAAAUACUGUUCAACACUUCAUAAUCCAUCUUACAAUACAUGUCACCAGAGUUACGGGGUGAUAUCGUUUAUAACGACUCACGAUCCUGCAACAAAAUGGGAGAGGAUUCUUGUAAUGAAAUUUUAGUAAGGUGGAUUGGAUGAGAUUGAACAUAAAAUAAAAAGGUCGUUUACGAUAUUGUUCAAUAUCUUCUAAUAUUACGUACCAAACACGUCCUAGGAGCUAAAAUAUGUAGCGAUUUCUUUAAUCUUUAUGUUUGAUGUGACAUUGAAUUUUUUGGUUCUCAUCAGAAAAAUUGAAGAGAAUGUUAGGAAUCUUUGUUAUUU